AGUCGAUGACGAGGGCACAGUUCAACAUCUCCUUGAAAUGCUCCAUAGCUUCAUAAAGUGAUUCUCCAUCUUUUUGACAAAAACAUGUGAUUUGGUUUAAUUAAUU